rnacentral:lncRNA from 1 species
UAUCUGUAAUCCUCACAGCUGCCCUGGGAAAGGAGAAUUGCUCAUCCUACUUCACAGGUGAAGGCAGCCAGCCUGCCAGACUCCAGGACACUUCCCUGAAGCCACAUGGUGAGCAGAGCUGGUUCCAGAAAAGGAAGGCACCUGCGCUUCCCUCUCCACUGGGUCUCAGGCAGAGCUCAUGGACUGGCCUGAGGGAGAGAACAGGAAACCCCAGAGUCUGCAAUUCCAAGAUGCUCAUUAGAAAACCCAGCCGGAGUACCAGACGGGCCACCAUCUCCUAUGGAAAAAGUAGAUGCCCUUUCUCUCUCCUCACCAAAGGCUGAUUCCAGCACAUGACCGACCGCAGUGCUUGUUAGGAGACUCCGCGCAGUCAGAGGCCAUGUUGCCAGAUGCUAAAUCUCCCCCAUAAGAAAUCUGAAGACAAAAUUGCAGCAGUGACUGUCCAAAACCAAUAUGUACAAAACCAGCACUGAGCCCUGUCAGAGCAGCAGGUGUCGCAGCAGUAAACACUGGAGCCCAGCGUGUUGACUUUGGCAACGC